rnacentral:rRNA from 1 species
GUCCACGCCCUAAACGAUGCUUACUCGACGUAUGGCACUAGUUGUUGUGCGUCCAAGGGAAACCGUUAAGUAAGCCACCUGGGGAGUACGACCGCAAGGUUGAAACUCAAAGGAAUUGACGGGGUCCGCACAAGCGGUGGAGCAUGUGGUUUAAUUCGAUGAUACGCGAGGAACCUUACCUGGGCUAGAAUGCGAGUGACAGGCCGCGAAAGCGGUCCUUCCUUCGGGACACAAAGCAAGGUGCUGCAUGGCUGUCGU